AUGGGCUCCAGGCUCCUCUGCUGUGUGGCCCUUUGUCUCCUGGGAGCAGGCCCAGUGGACUCUGAAGUCACACAGAACCCCAAGUAUCUGGUCACAAUGAGAGGACAGAACGUGACCCUGAGAUGUUCCUAUAAGACUGGACACCUCGCUGUGUACUGGUACCAGCAGGCCCCGGGCCAGGGCCCCGAGUUCCUGGUUCGGUGUUAUAAUGGGGAAGAGAAAGAAAAAGGAAGGAACUCUGACCGGUUCAAAGCUGGGCAGUUCAAAAGCAAUAGUAGCCCUGAGCUGAAUGUGAGCCUCGUGGAGCUGGGAGACACGGCCCUGUAUCUCUGCGCCAGCAGCAAGAAAAUCCUGGACACAGACAUGGAACCCACUCCCGCCCAGGUCAAGGUCCGAGACAUGGUUACAGCAUCAGGGGCCUCCUCAGUUUCUGCUUCAGUGUCUGUCCUUCAUGCCAGCCCUGGGGGUGCUGCCUCGCCCAGACCCGGGCCCUGUGGUUUUACCCUGGACUGA